rnacentral:rRNA from 1 species
UAGCGCCUCGUGAAUUCAUCUCCGGGGGUAGAGCACUGUUUCGGCUAGGGGGUCAUCCCGACUUACCAACCCGAUGCAAACUGCGAAUACCGGAGAAUGUUAUCACGGGAGACACACGGCGGGUGCUAACGUUCGUCGUGAAGAGGGAAACAACCCAGACCGCCGGCUAAGGUCCCAAAGUCAUAAUUAAGUGGGAAACGAAGUGGGAAGGCUCAGACAGCCAGGAUGUUGGCUUAGAAGCAGCCAUCAUUUAAAGAAAGCGUAAUAGCUCACUGGUCGAGUCGGCCUGCGCGGAAGAUGUAACGGGGCUAAAUUAUGCACCGAAGCCGCGGCAGCGAUAUGUAAAUAUUGUUGGGUAGGGGAGCG